rnacentral:rRNA from 1 species
CACGUAGGGCGCAAGCGUUGUCCGGAAUUAUUGGGCGUAAGAGCUCGUAGGCGGUCUGUUGCGUCCGCUGUGAAAACUCGGGCUUAACCCCGAGCCUGCAGUGGAUACGGGCAGACUAGAGGUAGGUAGGGGAGAAUGGAAUUCCCGGUGUAGCGGUGAAAUGCGCAGAUAUCAGGAGGAACACCGGUGGCGAAGGCGGGUCUCUGGGCCGAUACUGACGCUGAGGAGCGAAAGCGUGGGGAGCGAACAGG